CGUCAAGUCCUCAUGGCCCUUACGUCCAGGGCUACACACGUGCUACAAUGGUCGGUACAGAGGGAAGCGAGAUCGCGAGAUGGAGCCAAUCCCAGAAAGCCGUCCCCAGUUCGGAUUGGAGUCUGCAACUCGACUCCAUGAAGUUGGAAUCGCUAGUAAUCGCGGAUCAGCAUGCCGCGGUGAAUACGUUCCCGGGCCUU
rnacentral:rRNA from 1 species